GUACCCUGUGAGGACAGGGUACUGGUGUUACCCCAAUUAGGUGGAGAAGGACAAACUUGUCAAAACAGGAGAAGAAAACUGAUGUGCUAAGAAGAGACGCCACUGGGUUUAAAAUGCUGCAUCACAGAAAACCAUGUGGUUGGGCGACACCCAAUCAGAACAGUGUCACUGAUGUACUAGCAGGAAGAUGUAACUGCAAGCCGUGCACUAUAUCCAAGGAAGGCGGGGCAGACAGAGGUGAACAGGACUCUGGAGGGUUAACCCGAGGGAAAUGAAACAUUGGCCUCACGUUGAAGCAUAAACAAGGCCAAAUUAAGUCGCUGUUUGUUUUUUAGUGAAAUAUAUGCUAUCUUUGGUCCCAAGUGUUUAGCUAUGAAAACACUAUUAUUAUAAAACUAUCAACAACAGCAGCACACACACUCACACACACACACACACACACACACACACACACGUGCACACACAUAUCUAUGGGGGGAGAAAAGGGGAGGAAUCCUUAUUCACAAUAAAAAAAACCCAACUGUUGGCUUUACUGAAAGAACUUUUGAAGUUUCUUUAAAGGUCAUUUAAAAUCUGACUGACUCAAUGUGCUAAUUUUUUUAAAUGUAUAAUACAAAGUUUUCUGAAUUUUAUACCAUACAGUAAGGGAAAUCCAUUUAAUAGGGAGAUACAGUUUUCAACUAAGUUGGUUCAGCAUACGUGUGUGCAAGAGAGAGACAGACAGACAGAGAGAGAAGCAUGUACAGCUAACAGACAAAGGAGAUAGAGAAAUACAGCCCACCUCCAGCUUUAAUCUGGGGUCACUGUGCAUGCCAUUCUGUGGGCUCCUGUUUCACCAGGGAGAAUUCAUUAAGCACAGAGCAAGUCAAUAAAAAUGAGCUUUAUUAAAAAGAACUAGUGUAAUUAAAGGUAUUGGUGAAAACCAGCCUGUUAUGAAGGGGAAAUGACUCAGCAGCAGCUUUAGGAAAGGAAAGGAAACCAUAUGCAAUAGAAUCUUCUCUCAGUUUUAAGCUGUGGGGGUGGUGAGUGUGCUCAGGAUGGCAGGAGUGCCUGUAUGAAAUCGCCAUUCUCCCUAUAGUGGUGAAUGAUGUUGUCUGCCGCAGUGCUGGCAGCUCUGACGGAGGGGACUACGGAGAGCCGCUGACGCAGGCUGCAUGCUGCAGAUGGCCAGAGGCGAUUUUCAUGAAGACUGCCUGUGCAACUGUCUAGGCACCCAGAGCACUAAAUUCGGAAAACUACAUAUUAGAGAAAACAUAUAGAAGACUUGGAGAGUCUCGUGUCAAAUGAUAGGCUGUGUGGCAAAAUGCAUAUGUAGCACAUGAUGGGUCAUGCACACUGUAUGUGGCAGCAGGUCAUGUGGCCUUAGCUGCCUGAUCUGAGUUCAAGGCCAAUAACCAGAUGACUCAGGAGCAGGUAGUGUGCAUCCCCCGGUUAUAGGGGAAACUCUGGCAGGAACCAGCCCAUGAACUGGGCUGGCCUUAGCGAGGAGCCUCAGAUCAGUCUGGGCUUAAGAUCUCAACUAUGUUUGAAAGACAGUGUAGCCUUGGCCUUGGGUUUGCCAGUGAUUUUGGAUUGCAGAACCAAUGCCUGGUCUAAUGCUUUAACAACACUGUCGUAAGGAUUAAAUGCUUCCUAUCUGAAAAAUAAAAUCACAAGGCGGCUCUGACGGUGUGCCAAGCUCUAGAAAGCCUAGAACAUCUUUCCAUUCUCCCUCUCUUCCUGGUGACAGGGACAUCAGGCAGAAAGAAGGAUUCAGUGAAGAAGAGCAUUUAUGAAAGGAUGGCGGACAUUCCCAGCACAAUUAGUAACCACGGCAACAAACCGGAAGGGGCGGACACUUCCAGCACAAGAAGUAAGCACCGCUAUAAACCGGAAGGGGCGGUGCCAUAUGUUGCGAUCCACACAAGCUUCUCUGCCUACCUUGGAGUUACUAAUGAAAUAUUGUCUGCAAGGAUAAUUUAUGGACUAUAUAUCUUUUAAUAACUUAUUGUAGCAUGUGGUUUACAUAGUUAAAACAGACAAAGCUCUGAAAAGCUUGAAGAGGAGGCAGCAUCUAAGGCAGGUCUUUAUCCAGCCCCUGAAAGCUGUAGGUACUUUCUCUUAAAAUGCCCACCCACAUCUACUCGGCUUUGCCAGAACUGCAUAUUUUGGAGCAGUAAAAAUUAUAUAUUAUCUUUAAAAGUGUGAGAAAAAGCUGGGUGACCAUGUUUGGGGAAGAUGUCUGUACUGAUCCUCAUCUAAACACUGUCAACUUACCAUGGAUAAAGUAUAUUACAGGGAUAUUUUUGAAUCCUUAACCUCACCUGAAGCAUGGACAGUAUACUUCCAACAGCUUCUACCCACAGUCUCUCUACAACAACAGAAGCUAAAGCAAAGCCGGCAAAGGUGGGGCAAGGCGCUCAGCAGCCUAGUCCUGGUGCUAAGACUAAGAGGUUUUGUCCCCAGAGAUCAGGAUGCAGCCGGGGAGGAGAACCUCCAUUUGCUUCAGAGGCUGAGAGGCACCUCAGAGGAUGCAACUGUGCUUCUCUUACCAUAAUUGGUUCAAUAAAAAUAUCUGGACGUCCAGUGGAUUUACAGAGCCAUGGAAACUGAUAAUUCAUUAGAUGAUAGUUUCAAAUUUUUGACUUUGUUCCUUUUUUGAAGUCUCUUAUAAAUUUUGUGGUUUUCUACAUGAGAAACCACUAGAAAAGUGAGUUAGAACCAAGAUGGCCCAGUUGGGGAAGAUGUGUGUUGCACAAGCUGGAGCCCACAUAAUGGAAAAUGAGACCCCAAAAGUUGUCCUCUGUCCUCCACUCACAGCAUGUCAUGGCUUACUUGCACACAUCACAUAGAUAAUGACAAGAGUAAAAACAGACAAAGGAUUUUCCCAGACAUAUGAUUGGCUCUGAUUUAAUACUAGUGUGGAGCCCUGGGAGACUCCUUUAGCUCCAUCUUCCUGUGCUUGAGUGGCUUGCAUGACUACAUGGUACUCAGAAACACCCUGUAGAUUAGCAUCCACGCUCCCUGCCUGCUAAGGCUCCCCUGUCCUUUCCAGCCCCCACAUUUCGUUUUGCUGGUGAUUCAUAAAACUAAACAAUCACAGGAUGAUAUGAAAUUAAGUGAUGUAAAACUAGAAGUGUAAGCCACUGUAACACAUGUAACUCAUGUGUUCUAAUGGCAGGGCUGACACAUGAUGACCCCUGACUGACAAAUGGUUCAGGAUCUCAUAUAUUAGUGCUGGAAACACCUGUUCUCUCGAUUAGAAAUCAUGUUUAUUAUCAUUUAAUGGAGCCUUAGGGAUUAUUUUUUAUUCAGAAACACAUAUUAGUGUUGAGUGGUAUAUACCUAUACUCUUGGGAGGCAAAGGAUGAGUCAAGGGACUUCUCAGACCCUGACUCAAAAAAAAAAAAAUCAAACAAAUAGAAAGUACAUAUUUUCCGAACAGCACAGAAAGAUCUCUGGGCAGCUACACAAUCAGGGCCUAGGCCUCUCACACAGCCCUGAGUCCCAUUUGGUCACAAUACAGAAUUCACCUUGAGAACACCUGGUCUUUCAUAUCACUUCCUGGCCUAUCUACCUGCCAUGGGUCAUUUCUCUUUGCAAAUAUAAAUAAUCACCUGAAACUGAAACCAUAUUUACUCAUUUCUGCUCUGUUUCUCAGAAGCUAUCUAGCUUUCUCUAAAACCAAGCAGUUCAGAGUUUUCAAAUACUCCAGCUUUAUGCAAUGGGUAAUUCUUGGGAAUUAGGAGCCUUAUUCAGACUAAAGAACACAUUUCCUUGAUCAUGAUGGUAGAUCUGAUUCAAUAUGUUUCUAGUAAUAGGAAAUGAAGGUUACACUCAGGCCUUAAAAGCAGCCAUCUGUGAAAAUGAAGGGACAGACAGUGGUAUCAAAUUCAUUCUCAUCCUAAGCCUCUAGGGUGACUGGAUCUAGACUGUAGUUUCCUUUCAAAUCUGAAGAAAUGCUUGCCUCUCUCAUGACACUCGCAUGCAUGGCUGAUCUGCUGGCCAGAAGCCCAGGGGACAUAAGAAGCCAGGGACAUAUAAGUGCCCACAGAGAUGUGCAAGUGUUCAGAGUUCAAGUGGACUAAACCAAAUGACAAGGAGAAUCAUUGUUAGCAGAGUAUCAACAGACCAAUAUGGCCUCUAUCCCAGCAUGCACUAGCUGCUCUAAACCAGUUAUGGUGUCUUUCCUUCUGCUUUCCUAUACACUGUCAACAGAUUUUAAGGAAACAAUUUACUUUAAGUCAAUUCUUAAAGCCAAUCAUGCUGCUCUCUGAGGACUGGGAAGAAGUUACUGGUCAAAGUCACCUGAAAUUACUAGUCGUGUCUCCCAUCGUGUACAGAAGCUCGUGUCCAUGUGGCAGACCUCACCUGCCUUGUUUUUAAGCUUUCAAUUCCUUCAAAUUACAUUUUUAAAUGAUACUCUAAAUAUUUCUUUUUACAGAAGUCCAGUGCUACAGGGGCUGGACAGACAGAUGCAUAGAAGAGGUUGGCACAGGAGCUGCAGUGGGGCUGUGGUCACACACAAAAGUGAUGGGCUGGGACUGAAGGACAGCCAUCGUGUUAGCGUUGCUGAGCAGAGAGUUGAGCUGAAUCAAUUCUUUGGACCUUACCUCCUUCCUUUCCUUAAAACGCAUAUUAUAAGUGUAAAAAUCUGAAGCCCACAGAUACUCAGAAGAUGGGAUAAUGGAGACACAUGACCUUGGGCUCACCUUCAACCACUGACAGCUCCUAGCCUGUCCCCACUGCAAUUCUAAGUGAACUUAAAGCAAGUCCCAGCAACUGUACAAUUUCACUGUAUUUCUCUCCAAAGGAGACCAUCAAAACCAAACCAAACCAAACCAAAAAACUGAACCAGGGACAGCAAGAUUUCUCAGUAGUAAGGGUACUGUGCUAGCCUGUGAACCUGAGUUCCACACCCUCAUGAAUGGGGGAGGAAGGAGGGAGAGACAGAAUUUAAAGAUGUUUUUAGAGAUGUUUUUAAACAUCAGCACAUACCAUAUUGUCACAUCUAAGAAAAGUUAACAACAAAACUCCUUGAUGCCACUAAUCAUUUGUCCAUUCAAAUGGCCCAGCUGUCUAUUGCUGAAACACGGUCUCUACGUAUCCCUUCCCGGCUGACUUCAUACUGGCAGCUCUCCCCCUGCCUCUGCUUUCUGACUGCUGAGAUUAUACAAGUUUUGUUUUUAAAUUUUUCAAAUCAGGUCUUUAAAUUUGCCCGUCAGUAUUUUAGACACAACUCUGUGUCCAUUUAAAAAUUAAACACCAGGUAAAAGAGGAAGUUGACCAAGGAGAUCCCAGGUUCUCAGUUUGAGGCUGGGAUUGUGCAGCCGGCCUGCCUCUGUCUCUUGACUAUGUGAGAAUCAACAUUUGACUUAAAAACAGAAACUGCCAUGAAGGAGAGUACAGCUGGGUUAAGUCAGCACCUUAGGAACUUGAGUGAGCAACAUCAUAGCCAAUGGCAAGCACUGAAGCUCUGAGCAAGCCGUCUUCCGCUAAGGGUAUACUCCGUACUACUGAAGAGCCACUGUACACACAGACCUACAGGGGCACUGUACAGUCCGUGUUCAGAACGAAAUGUGAUACUCCAAGA